rnacentral:rRNA from 1 species
UACAGAGGGUGCGAGCGUUGUCCGGAAUCACUGGGCGUAAAGGGCGCGUAGGCGGUCUCUUAAGCGUGUGGUGAAAGCCCGGGGCUCAACUCCGGGUCGGCCGUGCGAACUGGGGGACUGGAGCUUGUCAGAGGCAGGCGGAAUUCCGGGUGUAGCGGUGGAAUGCGUAGAGAUCCGGAAGAACACCGGUGGCGAAGGCGGCCUGCUGGGACAGUGCUGACGCUGAGGCGCGACAGCGUGGGGAGCGAACAGG